AAUAAUAUAAGGCUUUGAGGUGCAUAAAUUGCCAUCAUUAAGGUGAUAUUUGUCCACUCAAAUAAUUUUGCUAACGGGUUCUGGCAAAUCAUCCUUAGGAUACAACAAAGUCUUAUGGAAUUUUGUAACUAGCAAUUUUGAAGAAAUUUCAAAGAACUAUAUAGGAAACUAUUUAGAAGCUAGAAGGAAGAAUAAUGGUUUUAAGAUGGG
rnacentral:lncRNA from 1 species